UGCAAGUCGAACGGCAGCACGGAGCUUGCUCUGGUGGCGAGUGGCGAACGGGUGAGUAAUAUAUCGGAACGUACCCUGGAGUGGGGGAUAACGUAGCGAAAGUUACGCUAAUACCGCAUACGAUCUAAGGAUGAAAGUGGGGGAUCGCAAGACCUCAUGCUCGUGGAGCGGCCGAUAUCUGAUUAGCUAGUUGGUAGGGUAAAAGCCUACCAAGGCAUCGAUCAGUAGCUGGUCUGAGAGGACGACCAGCCACACUGGAACUGAGACACGGUCCAGACUCCUACGGGAGGCAGCAGUGGGGAAUUUUGGACAAUGGGCGAAAGCCUGAUCCAGCAAUGCCGCGUGAGUGAAGAAGGCCUUCGGGUUGUAAAGCUCUUUUGUCAGGGAAGAAACGGUGAGAGCUAAUAUCUCUUGCUAAUGACGGUACCUGAAGAAUAAGCACCGGCUAACUACGUGCCAGCAGCCGCGGUAAUACGUAGGGUGCAAGCGUUAAUCGGAAUUACUGGGCGUAAAGCGUGCGCAGGCGGUUUUGUAAGUCUGAUGUGAAAUCCCCGGGCUCAACCUGGGAAUUGCAUUGGAGACUGCAAGGCUAGAAUCUGGCAGAGGGGGGUAGAAUUCCACGUGUAGCAGUGAAAUGCGUAGAUAUGUGGAGGAACACCGAUGGCGAAGGCAGCCCCCUGGGUCAAGAUUGACGCUCAUGCACGAAAGCGUGGGGAGCAAACAGGAUUAGAUACCCUGGUAGUCCACGCCCUAAACGAUGUCUACUAGUUGUCGGGUCUUAAUUGACUUGGUAACGCAGCUAACGCGUGAAGUAGACCGCCUGGGGAGUACGGUCGCAAGAUUAAAACUCAAAGGAAUUGACGGGGACCCGCACAAGCGGUGGAUGAUGUGGAUUAAUUCGAUGCAACGCGAAAAACCUUACCUACCCUUGACAUGGAUGGAAUCCCGGAGAGAUUUGGGAGUGCUCGAAAGA
rnacentral:rRNA from 1 species